AUUCCUUGUAAUCACACGAGCACGCCAUUGUAACCAGAAAUUAUUGAAAUGAAAAGUGUUAUACAUUUUUGAACUGUCUUUCUGGCAUUGUCGUUCUACUGGUAAUACAUCCGCUGGUUAGCGGAAUUCCAGCUCCUUGGAAUUUCUCGACCAUCUAGGGCCUCCAACUGGUAGGAGCCAGGUCGGUUUACCCAGCGAACCCUAUACGGGCCUUCCCAAUUUGG
rnacentral:lncRNA from 1 species